rnacentral:rRNA from 1 species
UACGAAGGGGGCUAGCGUUGCUCGGAAUCACUGGGCGUAAAGCGCACGUAGGCGGAUUGUCUAAGUCAGGGGUGAAAUCCUGGAGCUCAACUCCAGAACUGCCUUUGAUACUGGCGAUCUUGAGUCCGGGAGAGGUGAGUGGAACUGCGAGUGUAGAGGUGAAAUUCGUAGAUAUUCGCAAGAACACCAGUGGCGAAGGCGGCUCUCUGGACCGAGACUGACGCUGAGGCGCGAAAGCGUGGGGAGCAAGCAG